CCUACGGGUGGCAGCAGUGAGGAAUAUUGGUCAAUGGGCUUACGCCUGAACCAGCCAAGUCGCGUGAGGGAAGACUGCCCUAUGGGUUGUAAACCUCUUUUGUCAGGGAGCAACGCCGGCUACGUGUAGCCGGACUGAGAGUACCUGAAGAAAAAGCAUCGGCUAACUCCGUGCCAGCAGCCGCGGUAAUACGGAGGAUGCGAGCGUUAUCCGGAUUUAUUGGGUUUAAAGGGUGCGUAGGCGGAAUGCAAAGUCAGCGGUAAAAUCGCGGGGCUCAACGUCGCUCCGCCGUUGAAACUGGCGGUCUUGAGUGGGCGAGAAGUAUGCGGAAUGCGUGGUGUAGCGGUGAAAUGCAUAGAUAUCACGCAGAACACCGAUUGCGAAGGCAGCAUACCGGCGCCCAACUGACGCUGAAGCACGAAAGCGUGGGUAUCGAACAGGAUUAGAUACCCGUGUAGUC
rnacentral:rRNA from 1 species